AAUAAGCUAUUUAAGAGCGUAAGGUGGAUGCCUUGGCUCUCAGAGGCGAUGAAGGACGUGAUAAGCUGCGAUAAGCUACGGGGGUUGGCACACACAAUUUGAUCCGUAGAUUUCCGAAUGGGGCAACCCACUAUAUUGAAGAUAUAGUAUCCGUUAAGGAAGCAAACCCAGGGAACUGAAACAUCUAAGUACCUGGAGGAAUAGAAAACAAAAGUGAUUCCGCUAGUAGUGGCGAGCGAACGCGGAACAGCCCAAACCAAAAUUGUUUCGGCAAUUUUGGGGUUGUAGGACCACGAC
rnacentral:rRNA from 1 species